GACGAACGCUGGCGGCGGGCUUAACACAUGCAAGUCGAACGAGGUCCAUCUUGUAGCAAUACAAGUGAAGACCUAGUGGCGAACGGGUGAGGAACACGUGAGAAAUUUGCCCCGAACUUUGGGAUAACAGUUGGAAACGACUGCUAAUACCGAAUGCCGUUAUGAAGUGGCAUCACUUUGUAACGAAAGAAUUUCGGUUCGGGAGAAUCUCGCGGCCUAUCAGCUUGUUGGUGAGGUAACGGCUCACCAAGGCUACGACGGGUAGCUGGUCUGAGAGGAUGAUCAGCCACACCGGGACUGAGACACGGCCCAGACUCCUACGGGAGGCAGCAGUGGGGAAUCUUGUGCAAUGGACGAAAGUCUGACACAGCCACGCCGCGUGCGGGAAGAAGGCCUUCGGGUUGUAAACCGCUUUCAGCAGGAACGAAAAUGACGGUACCUGCAGAAGAAGGAGCGGCCAACUACGUGCCAGCAGCCGCGGUGACACGUAGGCUCCAAGCGUUGUCCGGAUUUAUUGGGCGUAAAGAGCUCGUAGGCGGUUCAGCAAGUCGGGUGUGAAAACUCUGGGCUCAACCCAGAGCCUGCACCCGAAACUGCUGUGACUAGAGUUCGGUAGGGGAGUGGGGAAUUCCUAGUGUAGCGGUGAAAUGCGCAGAUAUUGGGAGGAACACCGAUGGCGAAGGCACCACUCUGGGCCGAAACUGACGCUGAGGAGCGAAAGCGUGGGUAGCAAACAGGAUUAGAUACCCUGGUAGUCCACGCCGUAAACGAUGGGCACUAGGUGUGGGUCUCUAACCAACGAGAUCCGCGCCGUCGCUAACGCAUUAAGUGCCCCGCCUGGGGAGUACGGUCGCAAGACUA
rnacentral:rRNA from 1 species